rnacentral:rRNA from 1 species
AACGAACGCUGGCGGCAGGCCUAACACAUGCAAGUCGAACGAAGUCUUCGGACUUAGUGGCGGACGGGUGAGUAACACGUGGGAACGUGCCUUUAGGCUCGGAAUAACUCAGGGAAACUUGUGCUAAUACCGAAUGUGCCCUUCGGGGGAAAGAUUUAUCGCCUUUAGAGCGGCCCGCGUCUGAUUAGCUAGUUGGUGAGGUAAAGGCUCACCAAGGCGACGAUCAGUAGCUGGUCUGAGAGGAUGAUCAGCCACAUUGGGACUGAGACACGGCCCGAACUCCUACGGGAGGCAGCAGUGGGGAAUCUUGCGCAAUGGGCGAAAGCCUGACGCAGCCAUGCCGCGUGAAUGAUGAAGGUCUUAGGAUUGUAAAAUUCUUUCACCGGGGACGAUAAUGACGGUACCCGGAGAAGAAGCCCCGGCUAACUUCGUGCCAGCCGCCGCCGUAAGAC